rnacentral:rRNA from 1 species
AGUGAACGCUGGCGGCAGGCCUAACACAUGCAAGUCGAACGGCAGAACAGAGGAGCUUGCUCCUUGGGUGGCGAGUGGCGGACGGGUGAGGAAUACAUCGGAAUCUGCCUAUUUGAGGGGGACAACGUAGGGAAACUUACGAUAAUUCCGCAUACGACCGACGGGUGAAAGUGGGGGACCGCAAGGCCUCACUCGAUUAGGAGAGCCGAUGUCCGAUUAUCUAGGUGGCGGGGGAAUGGCCCACCAAGGCGACGAUCGGUAGCUGGUCUGAGAGGAUGAUCAGCCACACUGGAACGGAGACACGGUCCAGACUCCUACGGGAGGCAGCAGUGGGGAAUUGUUCGCAAUGGGCGCAAGCCUGACGACGCAACGCCGCGUGGAGGAUGAAGAUCUUCGGGUCGUAAACUCCUUUCGAUCGGGAAGAACGGCUUCCGGGUGAACAAUCCGGAAGAGUGACGGUACCGAGAGAAGAAGCCCCGGCUAACUCCGUGCCAGCAGCCGCCGUAA